rnacentral:rRNA from 1 species
AGAGUUUGAUUAUGGCUCAGGAUGAACGCUGGCGGCGUGCCUAACACAUGCAAGUCGAACGGGUGUACGGGAUGGAAGGCUCCGGCCGGAAGCCCCGUGCAUGAGUGGCGGACGGGUGAGUAACGCGUGGGCAACCUGCCCUGUACAGGGGGACAACACUUAGAAAUAGGUGCUAAUACCGCAUAACGGGGGGAGCCGCAUGGCACCCCCCUGAAAACUCCGGUGGUACAGGAUGGGCCCGCGUCUGAUUAGCUAGUUGGCAGGGUAACGGCCUACCAAGGCGACGAUCAGUAGCCGGCCUGAGAGGGCGGACGGCCACACUGGGACUGAGACACGGCCCAGACUCCUACGGGAGGCAGCAGUGGGGGAUAUUGCACAAUGGGGGGAACCCUGAUGCAGCGACGCCGCGUGGGUGAAGGAGCGUUUCGGCGCGUAAAGCCCUAUCGGCAGGGAAGAAGGAGGACGGUACCUGACUAAGAAGCCCCGGCUAACUACGUGCCAGCAGCCGCGGUAAUACGUAGGGGGCAAGCGUUAUCCGGAUUUACUGGGUGUAAAGGGGGCGC